rnacentral:rRNA from 1 species
GAUGAACGCUGGCGGCGUGCUUAACACAUGCAAGUCGAACGAAGCAUUUAGGACAGAUUACUUCGGUUUGAAGUUCUUUAUGACUGAGUGGCGGACGGGUGAGUAACGCGUGGGUAACCUGCCUUGUACUGGGGGAUAGCAGCUGGAAACGGCUGGUAAUACCGCAUAAGCGCACAAUGUUGCAUGACAUGGUGUGAAAAACUCCGGUGGUAUAAGAUGGACCCGCGUCUGAUUAGCUAGUUGGUGAGAUAACAGCCCACCAAGGCGACGAUCAGUAGCCGACCUGAGAGGGUGACCGGCCACAUUGGGACUGAGACACGGCCCAGACUCCUACGGGAGGCAGCAGUGGGGAAUAUUGCACAAUGGAGGAAACUCUGAUGCAGCGACGCCGCGUGAGUGAAGAAGUAAUUCGUGAUGUAAAGCUCUAUCAGCAGGGAAGAUAGUGACGGUACCUGACGAAGAAGCUCCGGCUAAAUACGUG